GAGUGUCACGACUUGGUGGAGUGUCA
rnacentral:sRNA from 1 species